rnacentral:rRNA from 1 species
AUCUAGCUUGCUAGAUAUGAUUAGUGGCGGACGGGUGAGUAACAUUUAGGAAUCUGCCUAGUAGUGGGGGAUAGCUCGGGGAAACUCGAAUUAAUACCGCAUACGACCUACGGGUGAAAGGGGGCGCAAGCUCUUGCUAUUAGAUGAGCCUAAAUCAGAUUAGCUAGUUGGUGGGGUAAAGGCCCACCAAGGCGACGAUCUGUAACUGGUCUGAGAGGAUGAUCAGUCACACCGGAACUGAGACACGGUCCGGACUCCUACGGGAGGCAGCAGUGGGGAAUAUUGGACAAUGGGGGCAACCCUGAUCCAGCCAUGCCGCGUGUGUGAAGAAGGCCUUUUGGUUGUAAAGCACUUUAAGCAGGGAGGAGAGGCUAAUGGUUAAUACCCAUUAGAUUAGACGUUACCUGCAGAAUAAGCACCGGCUAACUCUGUGCCAGCAGCCGCGGUAAUACAGAGGGUGCGAGCGUUAAUCGGAAUUACUGGGCGUAAAGCGAGUGUAGGUGGCUCAUUAAGUCACAUGUGAAAUCCCCGGGCUUAACCUGGGAACUGCAUGUGAUACUGGUGGUGCUAGAAUAUGUGAGAGGGAAGUAGAAUUCCAGGUGUAGCGGUGAAAUGCGUAGAGAUCUGGAGGAAUACCGAUGGCGAAGGCAGCUUCCUGGCAUAAUAUUGACACUGAGAUUCGAAAGCGUGGGUAGCAAACAGGAUUAGAUACCCUGGUAGUCCACGCCGUAAACGAUGUCUACUAGCCGUUGGGGUCCUUGAGACUUUAGUGGCGCAGUUAACGCGAUAAGUAGACCGCCUGGGGAGUACGGCCGCAAGGUUAAAACUCAAAUGAAUUGACGGGGGCCCGCACAAGCGGUGGAGCAUGUGGUUUAAUUCGAUGCAACGCGAAGAACCUUACCUGGUCUUGACAUAGUGAGAAU